AUUUGUACUCAGAAGUGUCAGUUAUUUUUAAAAAUUACCAUGACUCGAUUCGCUCUGAUUUUCGUUCUGUCGAUUUUUAUUUUUACAUGUAUGGAUUGUUCAGCUUAUAAAAAAUCCUUAUUUUCAUCUUCUUAUUCAAGUAAUCCUAUAUGCAAAAGUGGACGGACUCGUACUAAAUUAACUCCACACUCGAGUAGCAAGGGCACACAUAUUCUCACCAAAGGGACAAUGAGGUCUCCAUAUAAUUUUAAACGAUACAACGCAGGCGCUGCGCCAUGUGCGUUGGCUUUAUUGAAAUAUUAACAAGAUUGUGCUUUGCAUGAUCAUUUUUUCAAUAAAAUAAAUUAUUUAAUAUUCAUAUUAAUCCAUACACUAAUAGAAGAAACUUUUAUAAGAAGCUUGUUUUGAACAGACAAAUAUAAUAUUUAAUGCAGUUCAACCGAUUGCUGUUUCGUCUUAAAUAAAUGUUUGUAACAUUAACAAACCUUUAGUACAGUGAAAGCAAAUAUUUAUUUUUGGGGAUAAUGUUUAGUAACAAUUAAUAAAUAUUUAUUCAACGGA